CUCAAUUUAUUUAAGAUAACGUCUUCAAUACUUAAUUACCUAACUCCAUGAGGUUGUUCCAGAGCACAAUCUUUAAUUUUUUUUUGCAAAGAACCUGCAAAAAUAAACUAUAAGUUUAUUGGCUGCCUGAAAAAUUAAUUGAUCAGCAUAUAUGAUAUACCUCAGGAUAAUAAAUUUUUUGUUCAGCAUGCACGUACAAAGAUUUAAUGAAAACUAGACAUCUCAAAUGUUAUUCUGUUUUUUUUCUCCCGAGUGAUUUUAUUCUAAUGUGUUUCUACAAUUGAUGUGUUAUUCAUUAAGUGAUAGUAAGAUGGUGUGAAUAAAAAUAGCAUUUGGUAUGUCAUGAACUGCUCGUAAAGAUUUAGAUAGAAGUGUGAGAUAUACAAACCAAAUGCAGAAUGGGAUAUGUUUCAGUGAGCUGCUUCUCCAGGUCUCCAUCCACAUUCUCAGAAUGCGCGUGAGCAUGAGGAUUAUACUCUUCUUGCACAGGAAUCCCUACAAAUACACAAAAGUAAAGAGAAAGGAAGGUUAGUCGGAAAACUAAGAUAGGCUAGAUUUAUUUUAAAUCAACUUAUAUUAUUGUAAGCUUUGAGUCUAAAUGAUUUUACCGGUGAAAUUAUCCAAAAGACCUCAUUACAUUUUUUUUAAUUUUAAUAUCAGUCCACGUGUGUUAAACUAUGGGACUUAGAAUAUUUCAGUAUAACUAAUGAUAGAAUUUCUAAUCAAGUAAUACUAAAGUUACUAACUCUUUAUUUAAAUUAUUUUCAUAGAUUAAUGUAGCAUAAUAAUAUAUUUUAUUUUAAAUUAUUACAAUUUAAAGAU
rnacentral:lncRNA from 1 species